AAAAGUCAGAACUUGGAGUUUCAGACACUGGAAACCUAUCUCCCUGAAACUAUACCAUACUAUUUCCGGGUUCGUUUGUUUCACUUAAAGUAUUUUAUUUCUUUAUCAUGGAAAAGGGAGAAGUCAGAAACAAACUAAUCAGGAAAGUCCAAGACGAAGUUGUACACGCACUGAAAAUAAUUCACUACCUAUCUUUAAAAUGCCAGUACAGGAAGCUAUUCCACCCACGUGACUUGCACACCAGCCAAGACUCAGCACUGGGUAAAUAACCGUGAGUCGGAGAGGCUAGGCGAUUCCAAGUUUACUUCCCAGUCGCCUUACAUCCAGCAGAGUGGUCCAAUGCUCUCUGCCUCAGUUUCCUCCUUCAUAAAGGGGCCGGUGAUAGCUCAACUGCCAAGGCUGCUUUGUCCACCAAAGGAGGGCACCCUGAGGGGGUCUAAGGCACCUAAGAGUCGUGCUGACCCGGGAUCUCUCCCAGGGCAACCUGGAUCUUCGCGAAGACGCACAGAGUGCUGCUCAACUGGAGAUUUUCUCAAUCGGCAAAGCAAGACAAGUGGGGACAGAGGGGCAAUGAAUGCCAUAGCCCAAGGUGGAGACCCCGCGUCCGCCCACAGCCGACUCCUCGACCCCGCGGAACCCCGAAGACGGCCUGUCCCAGCGGCGCCGCCCUCACCUGCGGUGUCCCAUAUGGAGAUGUUGAAGGAACGCCACUGCUUCAGGUAGAAGGCGCCGCCCACGGUGCUGACCGUGUCUGGGAAGCGACGCUCCAUGUAGCGCUGCAGCAGCGACGUUUUACCCACGUUCAUGUCCCCCAGCAGCACGAUCUUCCCAUCCGGCUUCCGCAUAGCGGCGGAGGAGGUGGCCCCUGCGCUUCUCGGUCACCCGCCCAGGAUGCCAGGGGACGCGGAUCCCGGCCUCCAGGGACCCCGAACUCUAGUGGCCCUGGCCUGAGGUCCAAACUCGCUGAAGUGCCGAAGAGGAAGCGCGCCAAGGCUCAGUACCCGAGUGUGAACUCAGCCCUGGGACCACGUGGGAUGUCCGGCCACCACGCCCAACCCACGCCCCCUGGGCCGCCCAGGUCCCGCCCCCAGUCUUCUCCCAAGCCCCUUCCACACUCCCUAAAACCUCUGCCACGCCCCUAUUCCUCCUUAUCUCUCCUUCCCCAAUUUCUUUUUCUCUGCCGCUAAAUCUCAGCCUUACGCCCACCCCUCCCCAUUCUUCCCCAUUCCUCCUCCCUCAAGGACCCUCCUGCGUCCUUGUAAUCCCAAACUCCGUCCCUCCUUUAUUUUUGUGCCCCUCCCAGAGCUCCGGCCCUUACCUCCUGUCCCAACUCCUUCCCAUCCCAGCCAGCCCUUUCCUGGAACCCCUCUCCACUGGCCCAACCCACGCCAAACCUCCCUCUCCCGGCACCCCCGACUCUAGCAGGAUCACAGUACCGCUUUAGCCCCCACCCCCACCCCCCUUAGAAAGCUUGAGUAUGCCAAAUUUGGAGCCUAGGACCUAGGACCGAAGAGUUCCAGAGCGCCUUCCUUCGGACGCUCCAGUUCCUCCAACAGCUCGGGCACCGAGUCUGUGUUCCUGGGACACCAACACUCACAUUUGGCUCGAGAAUAAGCUGUCUUCUCCCUUUGCGGCGAGCAACUUUGCUAUGUGACAUUCUCCCCACUCGAAGUUCUCCCCGCUCGAAGUUCUCCCUGCUCGAAGUUCUCCCCACUCGAAGUUCUCCCCGCUCGAUGCUCUCCCCGCUCGAUGCUCUCCCCGCUCGAUGUUCCACCCUGCACACGACCAGAGUUGGAGAGAGACUGGACCCACACCUCUGAGGCUGGGCUUCCCCCUUCGUCUGUCACACUGACGAGAAGCUGACAAUGCCCAGCUUUGGCAUGGCACACCUAUUCUCAUUAUGAACCCCUAAUACAAUAUUGCUAACUAAA